rnacentral:rRNA from 1 species
UACGUAGGGGGCGAGCGUUGUCCGGAAUCAUUGGGCGUAAAGCGCGCGUAGGCGGCCCGGUAAGUCCGCUGUGAAAGUCAAAGGCUCAACCUUUGAAUGUCAGCGGAUACUGCCGGGCUAGAGUCCGGAAGAGGCGAGUGGAACUCCUGGUGUAGCGGUGGAAUGCGCAGAUAUCAGGAAGAACACCAACGGCGAAGGCAGCUCGCUGGGACGGAACUGACGCUAAGGCGCGAAAGCGUGGGGAGCGAACAGG